rnacentral:rRNA from 1 species
CCUACGGGAGGCAGCAGUGGGGAAUUUUGGACAAUGGGCGCAAGCCUGAUCCAGCAAUGCCGCGUGCAGGAUGAAGGCCUUCGGGUUGUAAACUGCUUUUGUACGGAACGAAACGGUCCUUUCUAAUAUAAGGGGCUAAUGACGGUACCGUAAGAAUAAGCACCGGCUAACUACGUGCCAGCAGCCGCGGUAAUACGUAGGGUGCGAGCGUUAAUCGGAAUUACUGGGCGUAAAGCGUGCGCAGGCGGUUAUAUAAGACAGAUGUGAAAUCCCCGGGCUCAACCUGGGACCUGCAUUUGUGACUGUAUAGCUAGAGUACGGUAGAGGGGGAUGGAAUUCCGCGUGUAGCAGUGAAAUGCGUAGAUAUGCGGAGGAACACCGAUGGCGAAGGCAAUCCCCUGGACCUGUACUGACGCUCAUGCACGAAAGCGUGGGGAGCAAACAGGAUUAGAUACCCUGGUAGUCCACGCCCUAAACGAUGUCAACUGGUUGUUGGGUCUUCACUGACUCAGUAACGAAGCUAACGCGUGAAGUUGACCGCCUGGGGAGUACGGCCGCAAGGUUGAAACUCAAAUGAAUUGACCGGCUGAGAGAGACGACGGACGACGACGAGGGAGGAGG